GCACCACCGCUGUGUGGGCAGGGCGGCAGGCGUGGUGACGGUUGACUGCCGCAAGCGUAUGUUUAAGUUGCUUGGGUGCAAGUGCUGUGUGCUGCCCUGCAAUGGGCCUCGCCUCUUGUCUGCAAUACCCACCCAGUCAUCUGUACCGCCUCUGCCACGUGCUAACACCCCAUGGCCGGCCAUGUGCGCCGCUCGCUUGCUCCCUGCCCCGCAGCGUGCGUAUCCUGAACGAGGAGGGGCCGGACGGGCAGCCCGGCUUCCGGUCCGCGCACCCGCACGGCACCGUGCCAUACAUGCCACCUGGUGAGCGGGUGCGGAUGGACGCAGCCGUCAUCAUCAUGGGAACCCGCCUACCUUGUCCCGCGCUGCGCCAGCUGCCAGCUGCCAGCUGCCUGUUGCGCAGCGCGCGCAGGUCUUGCGUGCGCUUCUUGCGCAUGAGGGCCAUCACCUCAGCAGAACACCUGCAAUCGGGCUUGCCUGACAUUUUGCUUGGCCCGCUGCUGCGUACGUCAACCUCCUGCCUGCCGCGAACAGAGUGCUUCCUGGGCGCCCGCAUGCUGCUGGGCACCUCAGUGGACGUGUACGGUGAGUGCGACUGGGAACAGCUGCAUGCAUGUGUAUGUGGUGCAUGGGGCCGAUUGAUGUGGAGUAGCAGCCUCAUAGCGCCAGCCUGGUUAGCCCACUGCGCUCUUGGCUAACCAGCUGUUGCGGUUGCUGCUGCCUGUGUGCAUGGCUAUCGACGGUGCCUGUACCCCUGACAGCGUUUGGAGUGCUGAUGUGGUGAGUGCGCAGGCAGACACGCGGUGUCAUUUCCGCGCCUGACCUUCUGUACUGCUUUGCUUUGCUUGUCAGCUCUGUUGCUGUGCUUUUCCUGUUGACGUACGCACACGGUCUGUUCUCAGUACCAGCUCUGCCUUGCCUACUUAGUGCUGUCGCUGCUGACGUGGCUAUCGCUGCUGUCUGUUGUGUAAGGGCCACCCCUCUGACCUACCUCCUGCUGCGUGCCUGCUGCCUCGGUCUGCAGGGAGCUCCUGUACGCACGGACGCCUUUCAAGGGCAUGGAGAAGAAGGCAAGCCAUGGCGCGCGCGUGCAUUCCUGGCCAUCAGUGGUCUUACCAGGCGGGGUCUCACUACUACCGUGCUGGACUCUUUUCCUGCCUCACCUGCCGCCCGCUGCCCCCCAUCCACCACAGGACAUCGCCUUCCAGGUGGUCCACGCCGGCCUGCGCCCCGCCUUCCAGCCCCUGGCGCCGCCCGCCUACGUGCACCUGGCGGAGUGCUGCAUGGCGGCGCAGCCCCGGGCCAGGCCCACUGCGCUGGCGCUGGUGGCGGAGUUGCAGCAGCUGCUGGCGGAGGCGGUGGAGGCGGAGGGCGGCGGAGGGCGCGGCGUCUCCGUGGCGCUUGCCAUGCAGCUGUCUGCUGUGAGCUAGACUGAACGGUGGAAUCAUGUAGGUUACGCUGCAGGAUCCGGAGUAGUAGACCAGUGCCUAUCUACACAUGCAGUACUGUAGUAUGAUGGGCACUGCGGCAAGGCGGAGCACAUUGCUACUGUUGCGCUAGCUGUUUGUGAUGACAGCACCACUCGCUCAUUCGGAACGCGACUGCCCGCCACGGUACCUAGCACAUUGGGUGGUGCUCGGAUUCUCGCAAGCAAUGCGUGAGGCACGCUCAUGCAUCGAAGAAGCUAAGAGAUGCAUCGUGUUUGGGGCAGCAGUACAAAGACGACGUGACGUGCUUGUGUUGCAUAUCGAGUGCGCUACGCUUGCCUAGUGUCGGUCAGAUAAGACAGCGGCAGUACGGUGUGCGCGUGGGGAGCGCCGGAGAGCAUGCCUAGCUCAGCGCAAGCUCGCUGUUCUUCACAGCUUAAUUAUUGCGCAGUUAUCACAUGUACAGUUUAUUGUUAGUCUAUUGCGAAGUUAAGUUCUUCUGUUGAUGCUUUGCAACACGCGGAACAGUAUGGUGAGUGGCCAAGGCCCCAGGGGCUUGGGGUGUCGGGUUUGAAUGGGACCUCGAGCAUUGUCAUUCAUGCUGCAGUACCUCCAACUGCUAAGUAUGCAGUCUAUGGUGUGGUGCCAUUUGCAGACUUCGUGGGAAUGAGGGCGGAGCCAUUGGAUGCAUGUACUGGGGCUGGGGUCGGGGGCAACCAAGGGUAUACUGUCAUGGUGGAUGUUGUCAUGGUUGCGCGGGGCAUCGCCCAAAUGGCCCAAAUUGCGUAAUUCAGAACAGUAGGAUAGCAGGGUGUGUGAAUAUUUGUAAAAUAAUCAACAUGUGUGUGUGUGAGUUGGUGUGUGUGUCUGUGUGCAUGCGUGCGUGCGUGUGAGUGAGAGAGGAUACAUGAUGGAUAAAGUAUGCCAUGUGGCACGAGUGGGAGAGCGUGUGUGUGCAUCGUAUGUCGUAGUGAAGCGGGCACAGGGGCUAAUGGAACAGAACAAACCGCAGAUGUAGGGUGUGUUACAGAUCACAGCAAAGACUGAGUGGGUCAGCGGUGUGGGUCAGGGGAUCCCCUGGUGUGGGUGUUACGGCACUGUGCGUAUGUGCAGGGGUGUGCAUCCCCGCGUAUGUGCGCGUCAAUUUAUGUACACUUGCGCAGAUUUGGGGUAUCGGGUGCAAAGCACGUGCUCGGCCGGUCGACUCGUAUGUAUAACUUUCUCUGCUUAGGGUCUAGCAAGGGACGAGCCCUGCUGCCCCCAUGCUGUACUGCUGCUGCUGAUAAGGAUAUCACAAGGUGUGCAUCUUGGAGCCGUCCUUGUUGGCAGGCGCCGUGACUCCGUGAGGCCGUGUGGGUCUGGUUACCUCGGCUCCUUUGGGAAGUGCGGGCUGUCUCCCUCCCUCCCGCGGAAGCCCCGAUUGGCGAUUGCUCACACGAACCAAAUCCUGGGCGGAGGACUAUCCAGGGGAUUCGUAUUCUAGUGUCAGGGUCAGGAGGCGUUAGCAACGGAUUAGGUGCCUGGCUUGCGGUCAAGGCCGGACAGAACCAUGUAACCCACUGCCAUGCCCCCCUGUGCUUGUCACGAUCACUUUAGCAGGCUUCAGCUUCACACCGUACCCUGCAAUCGCAAGGUGGAGGGGUCGGGCAAAUUCCUGGGGUACGGGGCAAAAAGGCACAGGCGAGCUUCGCACUCAAAUAGCGUCCUUCAGUAGACUGCGUGCCCUGACCAGUGACCACACACCUACUACAGUGCCCUCCACGGGUGCGACAUGCCCCCACGGUGUCAGGGCCAUUCGUGGCUCUCGCCAGCACGCAUCACCGACCCAUGCAAACCGUGCAAACGGCACGCGGCCCGGCAUGUGCAAUGAGCUAGCAUGGAUAUCAGGAUCUGGUGGAUUCCUCUGAGCAGGCCGACGCAACCAUUUGGAAGGGCACUGUGGAUCUAGGUGGUACCGCUCGAGCGAGGCGAGCAAAGCCCAGAUCGGCCCCAGGCGCGUGUACCCUGGCGUACCCCGCGCCAACCGUACGUGGCGCCAACCGCUCAUAGGUAAAUGAAACGCCAGGACAUAGCAAAAGUUUCAAGAUUGACAAGCGCGAGAUUUUCUUCGCUGCUGUCCACCCUAUGGCUCGGUCGAAGGGAGGCGCAGGAGCAGCGGCAGCGGCAGUGUGAGGAGCUGACAGCGGCGGCCAUGGCCAAGCAGCGCGAACUGGAGGGCCUGACGGCCGCGUGUGAACGUCAGCGGCAGGAGUACACGGAAAAGGAGGAGCUGAUCGCGGCCAUGGAGGAGUACGUCACCCAGAAACAGACCAGUGGCAUGGCACUCCUCCGACAGCUCCAGACCGAUACGUCCAGUGCAGAGCAACAGCUGCAGCAGCUGCGCGGCCAGGUCGCGGCCGAGGCGCAGCGUCACCGGGAGGCGCAGGAGCAGCGGCAGCGGCAGUGUGAGAAGCCGCGCAACCUGAUGGAGCAGCUGCCGUUGCCGCAACAAAAGCCGUAUAGGCCCCCGCUCUUUUCCCGAUUCCUAUACCCUGAGGACCUGGAGGAGAUGUAGGAGCACUACUAGGCCUGACGGUGGUGGGUGACGGACGCUCAGUGGUGGGCCUGACGGGCGCUCAGUGGCAGUGUUGGGUACAGUUUGCUUGCGCCGCGAAAUGUGUGAGGCUGGGUGAUGCGUGCUGGGUGAGGCUGGGUGAUGCGUCGGAUGUGCAGGUGGAGAAGUAGGUGAAAUUUAACAAUGAUAUGCGCCAAGGGACAUGGGCGCUGAGGGAGGCUGGGUGAUGGGUGGUGCUGGGUGAUGCUGGGUGACGCUGGGUGAUGCGUGCUGGGUGAUCGUGCUGUCAACGAAGCAGCUUAGUUUCGCGGGUAACUGCGGGUAACUGUUUACAACUACCAGGUGCUCGCCACGCGAGGCGCAAUCUCACAAGUUAAAAGAGGUCUGGCUGACUCAUUGAGAGAAUUAUAUAAUUGUGAGCAAGCGCGAAAGUCUGACCGCAAACCCGGCUUGGCCUCGUGGUCUGCGCGCUCCCCUAAUCCCCUAAAGUCUUGCGACCGCGCAUUCUCAAUAUAUAUGAGUAUCAUACUCGGCGACGUACUGCCACACGGCGCCAAAAUGCAGCCACACUUGGAGCUCGCCGACGACGUUCUGGACCGUAUCUUCUUGCACCUGUCUCCAAAUGAGCUGUCGUCCAGUAUCCGGCUUCUGAGCAAGAGCUGGGCUGCCCGAUACGCAUAUAUGACCCACAUCAGCCUACGUGUCGCGGUGCCGCGCCAUGCCUUCCGCUGGCGCUUCACUGUCGCCAUUGCAGCUGCCCUGCCGCUGCGCACCCGCCGCGAGCUCCUGUGCGCCACGGCUGCCUCCGGGGACGUCUCCAACCUAGAGCAUGCGCUGGAGGUGACGGGGCUGGACCUGGGUGCCGCCGCCACCGCCACUGCCCUGCUGGCCGCGGCAGCUUGCGCGGAGCCGCCUGGCGGCAUGGCGGUGACGGCGUUCCUGCUGCACCGGAUGGGCCGCAGCCAGCAGCACCAGCAGGACACGCGGUCAGGGUGGCUGGGACAGCUGUGUCAGAGGUGUCACGCCUGGUGCAGUUCUGGCUCGAAAGCAUCACUGGUUGAGGUGGUCGAGCCCGCCCUGUGCGCGGCGGCGGCGGCAGGAUGGAAGGAGUCGUGCGCGCUGCUUCUGGGCCGGCUCAUGGGAGGUGGGGCCGGCCAGUGCAGCUCAGCGGACACGGAGGGUCAUGGAGAGGAGCUGAUCGAGGCGGAGACGUCCGCACAGAUUCCAGACAUAGGCCGCCGCCAGCAGCAACCGCUCGUGCUGCCGACAACAAUAGCACUUAGUCGGCACAUUGGGAAGGCAGUGCUGGCGGCGCUGCGAGGCGGCCACCUGCCGCUGGCGGCGUUGCUGCAGGAGCAACAGCACCAGCUGCACCAGGGGCGCCGGCCGCAGCUGCAGAGGCUUCAGUCUCAGGCCGCAAUGGUGGAGGUCGCUGCUAACACUGCUGCCGCAAGCGGGGCGGCUGCAGGUGACGGCGCGAUGGCAGCAACAACCGGUGACGAGUGGGCGGCGCUGCUGGAGGCUGCGGCGGCUGGCCUUGCGCUGCGGCCGCUGCAGCUCGUGGUCCUGUGCGGCGGCGACCUGCGCAAAGCUACAGCGUGGGUGCAGGAGCAAACCGCCCAGAUGACAGAUAGCGAGCUAGCCGCGGCCGCAGCUGCAGCGGCGGCGGCACACACACGCCAGCUGGCUACCUGGCAGCUAUCAGCUGUGGUGUCUGCGGCUGCGGGCAGCCUGCAGGCUGUGGGGUCAUGGGCUGACAAGCUGGACUGGCUGACGACAGAGCCGCCGCGGGGCCUAGGCUUCCCGCGCCCUGCUGCUGCAGCGGUAGCAGUCGUGGCGUCUGCAGGCAGCGGGAUGGAGGCGGCUGAGGUGGCGCUGCAGCGGCUGCAGUGGCUGCGUGGUGCUGGAUAUCCACUCGAUCCCAGGGUAGUAGUGGGGGCUGCAGCAAGGCGUAGUGAUUUGCGCCUACUGGAGGCAUUGCUGCGAGACCCGAGCGGACAUGUGCGCCCGGGCCGGGAGGCGGCGUACGCGGCGGCGGCUGCAGCCGCCAGGACUGCAGUGCUACCGCCACCAGCGGAUGCUACUGAUGCUGUUGGUGAGAUGGAAGGCGCGUAUGGCCACGGGCAGGUGGCUUGUGGCAUGAGCAAAGUGAGUGGCGUGCCGGCACUGCGGCUGCUGCACAAGUACGGUUGUGCCAUUGAGCCGUACGGCACCCUGCUGGUGGCGGCGGAGUCUGGCGACCUGGCCGCGGUGCGGUGGCUGCUAACGGGCCAGCAGGACGAGCAGGAGGCCCCAGAGGAGGGCGGCGAGCACAAUAGGGGCGGUGCCACAACUACCUCCCCGGUAGCGUCGCAAGUCCGGCUGGACGCGGAGGUGAUGGGCGCUGCGGCGAGCUCAGGUGCGUGAGGGUCCGAGACGUACCGUAGUGUAAUCUGCCAGAAUGUGCCAAGCAACCACCACCAUUCUUGAGCUGCUCCCCUGACGGCUGACACGCUUGCCCCGCCACCCGCCAGGCCACGUGCCGCUCAUGUCCUGGCUGCUGCGCCGCCGCGGCUGCGCCAUGGACAGAGACACCUUCCGUCGUUGCGCCGCGGGCGGCAGUGUAGCGGCGCUGCGGUGGCUGGCGGCGGCUGGCUGUGACAUUGGGGUGAGCAUCCGCACCAGGAAAGGCUGGGAGCAACGGCAGACUGCCGCGCGCGAUCCCGGGUACUCUGUGUUUGCAGUUGCGGAUGCACAUACGCCCCCUCUUGCUGCGGCUGCCCGCGCAGGACGACGGUGGUGCCUACGCCGCCGCCGCCGGCCAGGGUGACCGCCUGGUGGCCGCCGCCCUGCAGCAGCUGGGCUGCCGUAGGCCUGCAGGCGCCGAAGGGGCGAACACCGCCACGACGACAGGCUAUGCCAGGAGCGGGGGCAUGCGCCUCAGUGGGGGCGCAGGGGGCUACGGCGUGCGGCCUCCCUCUCUGGCCUAGAUCGGCACAUAAGGUUAUGGGUUGUAGCAACUAGGCGAUUUUCGUGCUCGUCAGCAGCUCGUGGCUUCCCUUCGCUCGCCCCGCGCAGAGUGGUGAGGCGCGUCGCCGGCGGCGUAUGUAGGACCUCUACGCGUGCCCCUUCGCGCGGGCCUUUGCCUGCCUGGCAACAAUGCGUAUCCGCAUUGGGCUGUAGGCCUGAGGCCUUCGUAAACAGUUUGUUUACCCUGCAAAUACUAGCUCUGGCAUGUGUAGAAGACUCGAGUGGAUGCGUAGCACCAAUGCUGUGACACGUUGCUCAAGGUGGAACGUGUUAGCUUCAGCUUUAACGCUUUAGCUUGCAGUUCCUGGUGGCUGUUGGAUACAACACGGUGUUUGAGCAUGUAUUCCCGCCGGCCCGGAGUGUGCACCAAGUUGGUAGAACCGGUUAAGACCCAGAACCAGUUCAGAGCCGCCCACAUGCUAGGUGUGGCGUACGUGCAGAGCCAGAGCGCACAACCGAAGCGCGCCUGAUUCACCACAAAGACACAAGUAACAUGCAGCUUUGGUACAACUGUCAAAACAUGCCCUGAAUGUCACAGACGUAUAAUAACAAGGAGGUGGCUGCCUUAGGGAGGCAGGAAAAGGGCUGAGCCCUCCCCUCCCGGGUCGUUAUCAACCCAGCCACCUUGACGCGGGCGCCUACUAAGCACACGCCUCUAUGUUGGGGGCCUUUGGCAUCCCCGCAAAUCCGGACGUGGCCGGUUGGGUGGGGUGCACAGUCCGUGCUAACCCGCAGCUAACAAACUAGUCACGUCACUCGCCGCCAAUCGACACGUGCACCCUCAGCCCCACGCGCCGUUCAGGCUCUCAGCCCGGCCCCGCCGCCGCCGGCGGCCAUGGCGGCCGCUGCAGCUUGGUCGGCCGCUCGAAGCCCAUCAGCUUCAGCAGGAGGAGCACACGGAUCACUUUGGCGGCACAGCAGCCGCCUUCCGUCAGCCAGCCAUGGGCGCGACCGGCCACAGCUUUUACCGUCGGUUACGAGGUAACAUGUGAAUUCGCAACUUGCGCUACUGACUGCCUACUCUCGUGCCGCCUGCAAGCCCACUCCGCCUUCCGCUCUGGUCUGCGUACGCAUUAGUUCCGCAACACUCGUCAUUAAGCUACCUAGGCCACUUUCGGCUCGCUCGACAUCAGUCAACCAUCCGCCGUCAUUGCAUCGGCAGGCCUCUGUCGAGCCUGGUUAUGCAAUUGAUCCCGCAAAACGGAACUUACUGACAAGUGUUGUGCUGCGCAGGAUGGCCAAGGAAAGGGUCCCGGGGGGGGGGGGUCAGUCUGUCUGGGACGCGCAGGCUGGGGGUGGUUUCGUGCCACCAAUAUGCACAUGCAAACUCCGGUCUGGCGCUGGACAUGAGCGAUUGACUCAACCAAUUUAACCAAUACAUCUGUUGCUUAGUGAAGUCUGCCUGUUGUGCCGACACGCAGCACUUGUGAAGAAGCACCCGCAAAUAGACAAGAAGACCGCGCGAGCGUGCUGCUUACUUCAUUGCUGCAUAUACUGUACGUAGCAUUGCUGUGUAUACAUACAGGAGCCCUUACAGGAGUCCUCGACAGUUUGAGGAAAGCAAACUGCCUGUUUCGAAACGAGUAUGAGCACGAGGCAGUAGAGGCGCAUAGUCGAAAGCCAUGCGGACCGUCGUUGCUUGGCAGGAGACACCUGUAAGUCUGGGCGGGUAGUUCCACUGCGAAGGCCAUGUUGCCUUCGCGCGGCCCAGAGCCGGCCUCGGCUGACCCUAAGCCUGCCGCUUGAUCGCAGCCCGAAAAGGACGGCGUACGCAACGUCUGCUACGACCUCUGCUUUAAGCCAGGUGCGGAGGAAAAGCCAACAUGCCGGACCGUCAACGCGACCGACCUUGCUGGGAACGGGAUGUUGACCACGGCUUCAUACCCUAUUACAAUUGCAGAUGGCUCGCAAGUUGUUGCGGGCAUUGGGAACCGUGUGCUGGUCUACGAUGCUGCGGAUGGCGACCUUCUGCACGCGUUGAAGGGCCACAAGGUCAGUGGCCUGUCAUGUCCACCCAUCACAUAUUUGAGCUGUACGUAAAGCGAAUAACCGGGUCUCUGGGCACUGCAGGACUCGAUUUACUGCGUCGCGUAUGCCCAGAACGGAAAGCGCUUUGCAUCGGGAGGCGCGGAUAAGACGGUCAUCAUCUGGACAAGCAAGGUGAGUGGAACCAGAAGGUGGGGGUGGGGGUGGGGGGCCUGGGGGUCAGGGAGGCAGCUGGGCUCCCGCGUGCGGUGUUGCCUAGACUCAGUGCGCGUGUGGAUGUGUAUGCUGAGUCUGAACCUGCUUCCGGGCCUCUUAUCACACAAACAGGCGGAGGGCAUUCUGAAAUAUACGCACAACGAUGCGAUUCAGUGCCUGUCUUACAACCCAGUCACCCAGCAGCUGGCCAGUGCCACCGGCUCGGAUGUGGGCCUGUGGUCACCGGAGCAGAAGUCUGUGGCGAAGCACAAGGUGUGGCACUUAGAGCUGUGGCAUCUGCUUGUCACAGUGCGAGCGGGGAAUGAGCUGGGGAUACAGUUUGAGGUGCAGGGGCUUGGGGCAGGCGGCUCAGGACAGCCUGGAAACGGCAGAGUGCGGCAUUGGGGCGGAACAGCGCUUUGCCGCGACUCGCUGGUGGGGCGGAAUUUACCAGCCACACAUGGAGAGGGCCCUCAACCUCUGGCCCCAUCCUUGGCCGGAGCACAAGCUCAGCGUGGAGGCGCCGUGUCUGGGCGCAGAGCCAGCUCGCGUAGAGACGGGAAUUGACGGAGGCGCCGUGUCUGGGCGCAGCAUGCCAGCUCGCGUAGAGACGGGAAUUGACGGAGCAGCAGCCCCCCCACCAGUGGGGGCGUACCCGCAGAGCUGUCUGCGCGGUCUCGGGCAGUCACGGCCAGACCGUCUGUGGCAGUAGUGGCCGCGCUGGUGUACCCGAGUUUGCCUUGAGUGCGAUGCUCAGCUCGCAUGAGCCUGUGUACCUGCCGCACUCUGCACCUCGCUGCAUUCCUUGGGACCCUUACCGCUGGGAAUCAUGCUACAACCACAUGCACAGGUGGCCUCGCGCAUCUGCUCCAUCUCGUGGACUGCGGACGGCGCCUACCUGGCGCUGGGCUGCUUUGACGGUGUGAUCAGCAUUCGCGACAAGGGCGGCAGCGAGAAGCACCGCAUUGAGACGGGGCCGUCGCCGGUGUGGAGCAUCUGCUGGAACCCCGUGGUGCGUGUGCGUGCGUGUGUGUGUGUGUCUGUGUGUGUGUGUGUGUGUGUGUGUGUGUGUGUGUGUGUGUGUAUGUGUGUGUGUGUGUGUGUGUGUGUGUGUGUCUGUGUGUCUGUGUGGAGGGCGAUUGGGGCUGUCCUCGGGGAGGACCGGCCGCACGUGAAUGGCGCAGGAGGGCGCAUUGCGGUUGCAAUUGGGCAUUCCCCAAGCUGCUGAGGGUACGAGCGUAGGGUCGGGGCAACAUCAGCGCAAGCAGUGAGGGUGGGAAAGCGGUGUAGCAGCAUGGAAAUGCAGCGAAGGGCUAAGUUUGCAGAAUGGCAGCUCAGCGGGCGGAUCUGACGGCCGUGCAUUGCUUUGCUGCAGGAGACCAACGUGCUGUGCGCGGGUUGCUUUGACGGCGUGCUCAAGUUCUACAUGAUGAGCGGUCAGCAGAAGAGCAAGGACCGCGAGCUGGCGUUCGACCCGCUGUGCGUUUCCUACUUCAGCAGCGGCGAGUACAUCACCGUCAGUGGCACGGACAAGUAAGAUAGUCUGUUGUGCGGACGGCGAACGCAACAAUUAUAAGUGGUGUGGUGCAGGCGACCGGGGCGGCUCAUCACGACACUGUGCUUCAUAUGCCCACACACCCGUACAUGCUGACACCACCGGAUCACCUGUGUCACACAAACACUCACGUGUGCAGGACGGUGCACCUGUACACGCGCGACGGCACGUACCUGACCAAGAUUGCGGACCGCGACAGCUGGGUGUGGGCGGUGCGGCCGCGGCCCAAGCACAACUUCGUGGCGGUGGGCACGGAGGGCGGCGGCAUCGCCAUGUUCCAGCUUAUCUUCUCCACAGUGCACGGCCUAUACCAGGACCGGUACGCCUACCGCGACCAGAUGACGGACGUCAUCAUCCAGCACCUCAUCACCGAGCAGAAGGUGCGGCUGCUCAUGCGCCUGGUUGGUUGGCUCCUACUUCGCUACCGCUGGGUGCAGCCUGAAGGGAGGUCCCAUCAUGGUACGCCCUCGCACUGGGUCGGCGCUUACCUGUGUCAAUGCUGUGUGCCCCCACAUCCCCAUGCAGGUCCGCAUCAAGUGCAAGGACUACGUGAAGAAGAUCGCGGUGUACAAGGACAAGCUGGCGGUACAGCUGCAGAACAAGGUGGUUAUCUACGAGCUGGCCAACGCCGACGACUUCGACAUGCACUACCAGUCCGCCACCAAGAUCCAGCAGAAGCUGGACUGCAACCUGCUGGUGGUCACCAGCCACCACGUCAUCCUGUGUCAGGUGCGGCGUCGUGACGGUCGAAUGCACGGCCGCGUGCUUGGAAGAUCUGGUUGAUUGAAUGCGCUGUUGCUGCCAGCCUCGCAUUGGCGCGCAUGCUCAUGUGCCCCCGCCCUGUUCUUAUUUGCCGCCUUGCAGGAGAAGAAGCUGCAGCUGUACAACUUCGACGGCGUCAAGGAGCGCGAGUGGGUGCUGGACAGCGUCAUCCGCUACAUCAAGGUGGUGGGCGGGCCACCCCGCCGCGAGGGCCUGCUGGUGGGCCUCAAGAGCGGCGCCAUCCUCAAAAUCUUUGUGGACAACCCCUUCCCCAUCCCGCUCAUCAAGCACACCGCCUCGGUGCGCUGCCUGGACCUGUCGGCCAGCCGCAACAAGCUGGCGGUGGUGGACGAGAACGCCAAGGUGCUGGUGUACAAUCUGAUCACCAAGGAGCUGGUGUUCGAGGAGAGCAAUGCCAACAGCGUGGCCUGGAACAGCGAGUUCGAGGACAUGUUCUGCUACAGCGGCAACGGCAUGCUGUCCAUCAAGACCGGCGACUUCCCGCUGCACCAGCAGAAGCUGCAGGGCUUCGUGGUGGGCUUCAAGGGCAGCAAGAUCUUCUGCCUGCACUACGUGUCCAUGCAGACCAUCGACGUGCCGCAGUCCGCCUCCAUGUACCGCUACCUGGAGCGCAAGGACUUCGAGUCCGCCUACCGCGUGGCGUGCCUGGGCGUCACCGAGGCCGACUGGAAGCAGCUGGCGCUGGAGGCGCUGCAGGCGCUGAACCUGGAGGUGGCGCGCAAGGCCUUCAUCCGCAUCCGCGACGUGCGCUUCGUGGAGCUGGUCAACCGCACCGAGGCGGGCCGCAAGGCCGGCACCAGCGAGCAGCUGCUGCUGGCGGAGAUCAUGGCCUUCCAGGGCCGCUACCAGGAGGCGGCGCGCCUGUUCACGCAGGCGGGCGCCGUGGACCGAGCCAUGGAGAUGUUCUCUGACCUGCGCCAGUUCGAUGAGGCCAAGAAGUGGGCGGAGGAGUUCGCGGCCAGUGGGCGCGGCGACCAGCGCAGCGUGCAGGAGCUCAUCAACCGCCAGGCGGAGUGGAGCGAGGAGGUCAAAAACUACGACGCCGCAGCGGAGAUGUACAUUAAGGUGCGGCAGCUGGGGGGACUGGCAAAGGGAUGGAAUUCAUGGGACAGUGGAGCCCUUCUCGAGUAUGUUGGGUUGUAGGCCGAUCGAGUCUAUCUCCCUCACCUUUGUUCCCUUCGUGACGCUUAACCCGCACGCACCUCUACAGGCCAAGAAGUACGACCGCGCCAUUGCCAUCCUGGCCAAGCACCAGUGGUGGGACAAGCUCAUUGGUGUGGUGCGACAGCUGGACAAGACGGACGCGCGCUGCCUGGGCAUGUGCGCCGGCCACUUCCGCCGCGCGCCGCACUUUGCGUACGCCAAGGAGACGCUGCUCAAAAUGGACGACACCAAGGUGGGCGCUGGGGGCGCAAUCAACGGGUAUGAACGCGCACCGACCGCCGAAUGUUCAGCCGGGUCACUGACUAAUGCCUUGGUGCUACCCACCUGCCCUGCCGCAAAUCGUCCCCGCAGGGCCUGAUCACGCUGUACGUGGAGGCUGAGAAGUGGGAUGACGCCUUCCUGCUGCUGCACGCGCACCCCGAGUGCCGGCAGGACGUGUACCUGCCCUACGCCAAGUGGCUCAGCAACCAGGACCGCUUCGAUGAGGCGCGGCUGGCGUACCAGGAGGGCGGCUUUCCCAGCCUGGCCACCCGCAUCCUGGAGCAGUUGUGCGCCAACGCGGUGGUAGAGACGCGGUACGCGGACGCCGCCUUCUACUACUAUCAGCUGGCCAUGGAGGCGCUCAAGGUGGGUGAGGCGCUACAGUAGGGAGGUAGAGGGAGGCACCCGCGCAUGCCCGGUGCUCAUGAGGUUACCCGUCCGCGCUGUCCGUUCCUCUCCCGCCUCAUCAAACAACACACCCAUCCCUUCGGACCUGCGCCCGCCGUGUCCCCACAGAGCAUCAAGAACCCGCCCUCCAACAUGGCGCCCUCGGACCGCUCCGCGCUGGAGCGCUUCACGGAGCUGUACGACCGCGCCGAGGUGUACUACGCCUACGAAGUGGUGCACAAGUCCGUGCACUCGCCCUUCCGCACCACGCACCCCGACACGCUCUUCAACGCCUCGCGCUUCCUGCUCAUGCGCCUGCUGCCGCCGCGCGAGGUGCCGCUGGGCGUCAGCGUGGUCAACGUGGUGUACGUGCUGGCCAAGCAGGUGAGGACGGACAGGUGCAGGCAGGAUGCAGGGGCUCAUGGUGGAGCGUGGGGCGGGGCAAGCCGAGGGUGGGCCCGAGCAUCUGCCUGUGUUCUCCCUGAAUUGUCAAUUGACUGAAAUCCCUUGCCGUCGAUCUUGCCCUGCACCCAGGCUGUCGAGGCGGGCGCCUUCAAGCUGGCGCGCUUCGCGUACAACAAGCUGCAGACGCUGGUGCUGCCGGCGGCCUGGCAGGCGGAGGUGGACCUGGCAUCCGUGGUCAUCCGCUCCAAGUGAGUGCAGGGCCUGGGCCGGAGGGGAAGUAGCCUGGUUGGGGGCAAGCACAGGGCAAGGCGGGGUUGGGGGAUGAGGCGGCAGGGGGCCCUGCAGUACCGACCGUACCAGCGCUCAAGUUGCCCACCGCUCCUGCUUGCCCUGCCCCUCUGUCACAGGCCUUUCUCAGACAAGGAGGACCUGCUACCGGUGUGCUGGCGCUGCUCCACCACCAACCCGCUGCUCAACACGCAGGGCGACUACUGCAUCAACUGCGGCGCGCCCUUCAUCCGCUCCUUCGUCACCUUCGAGCACCUGCCCGUGGUGGAGUUUGAGCUGGAGCCGGGCGUGGACGACGAGGAGGCGGGCCGCCUGCUGGGCGAGGACGCGGGCAUGGAGGCGGCGCGGCGCGAGCGCAAGGCGGAGCGGCAGGCCAAGGCGGCGGAGGUGGGCGGCAACAUGCUGCGGCUGGACCAGAACGAGAUCGACCGCAUGGACGACGCCUUCGCGGCCCAGAUGAUGGUGCCCAACACCACCAUCCGCGUGGACCGGGCCAUGCUGCGGCGGCUCAAGACGGCCGAGGUCAUGGUGCGCACCUGGCCCAACCCCGUCAUCCCCAAGCAGUACUUCCGCGUCAUGGACCAGGAGGUGCCGCUGUGCUGCGGACCCUGCGGACACUUCUUCGAGCAGGUGCGUGCCGAGAUAAGCGGCUAGGAGUACAUCAGUACUGGUGCUUGGCAAAGCGGGUGAAAAUGGGGGUGCUUGCAGAAAUUGUUCACACGGGCAAUCUUCACUUACAGUGCACGUUACUCUUUUUGUGCGCACUGUCGCUCACACCUGUCCGCUUGCGCCCUUCCCUCUGCACAGGAUGAGUUCGAGAUGGCGGCGCUGGAGCGUGGCACGGCGCCCUUCAGCCGCACCACCGUGCGCGGCGAGGGCCUGGCGCCGGGCGAGGACGCCGAGGAUGAGGGUGCCGGCGGCAACAAGCUGGGCGGGCCGUUGGGCAGCGCGCGUGGGCCCAUUGGGGGCGCCAGCAAGGCGCGCAUGUCCGUGCCCUUCCAGCAGGGCCGGCCGCUGGUGUGAGCGGGGUCGCCUAUCGGGCGCUUACCGGGUGCGUGGGUGGAUUCCGGAUGUAGGCGGGGAAUAGGAGCUGCCGGUAGUGGCGUUGCAGCAGGCCUUCGUUACGCAGCAGAGGGGGCACGAGGAGGACGUGAACGGGUGUCUUCAUGCUGCUUGUGGUCUGACUUGGUAGGACGGGCGUUGGUGCCAUCAUUAGGCUGCCCCUGCCGGUCCACCAUAGGAGCUGCGAUGGGCCUGAAGCAAGGCCCAUGCACGGUGGCCGGGCACAUGAUGCAUGACGGGACAGAGCACGGGACUUGCUGGAACCAGUGUACAUAUGCCCGCGCAGAGACUGCGUGUCUCGAAGCGGGCACAAAUUGGGACAUGUCGGCGUACAGACAAACGAUGAUGAUGACAGGAUGACAGUUGUUGUGCGGCAGGGGGGCUCCCAAGCCCAGUUGAGGCCCAGGCAGGUUUGGUUGAAUGGGGAUGCACAGUGGCAGUGCUAAUGCGCUGGCGCUAUGAGCGUCCAUGGUGUUGGCGGCCUCAAGUACAAGACACCUUAUAGUAGUUCAAUCUGCCCCGCAAGGUCUUCCCGUGCUGCUGAACCUGGCUAGCACGGUUUCCGGAGUCCGGGCCACUGAGGUCCGUAUCCUUCGCUGGGUCAGGGGAGGCGCUAGUGCAGCCAAGGUGCUACUGUGGUAACUGUGCUCUCCGCAGUGUCCGCACACUGCUGCACAGAGUGGCAGAGGCACAGCGCCACAGCCGCGCAAUUGCGUCAAGCCGUUUUAGUUCUCGGCCGUCUUUGAGGGGAUAAGGAGGAGCGUUGGCUAUGCAGCACAGCACAAAGGCAACCGGGGAGCAAACAAUUACUAACAACUGCUGCUGUUGUUACUUCAGGCUGUGGGUUGAAUUGUGGAUGCCGCGGCGCCGCCGACAUGCCGGGCUCACGGACCGGCCACAUGCUGGAACCCGUUUGCCGAGGCGUCAGAGCUGUGCAAGAGGCGGCCAGGCGAACAACUAGAGGCUGGCCGUAAAGCUGGGCCGCUGGUAGUUGACGGGGCACAGUGCCUGUUUCCGUGCCUGUUUCCAGCUUGCGUUUCCUGUUAUGAACCCGUAUGUACCGGGGAUGCCCCUCCCAGCGUGUGCGGGUCCCAUUGUCAUGUAGUGCUGUAUACCGCCAAUUGGGGCGAGGGAGGUUGCGCAAAAGCAGACAGGUAAGGGCUGGUGGCAAGGCGGGGGCUUGGCGCAAGGCUUGGCGUGGCCGAGGUGGCACUUCGGUCGCUUUUGAGCCGGUGACUGGUUACUGUACGCGGCCUGCUCUUUGCUCUCUCCACCGCUUUCAGGUUCAUCGCCCCGUGCCAGCUCGAGCCAGCUGCCCAGCUCAGCCUGGGUUGGGACAGGUUGGGAUCAUUGGUGUGAAAGUGCGAUUCGACUCGAUUGCGAAUACACCUCUCAGCGCAGGAACCCAUCGAUAGGCAAACGUAUAUAUCCUUAAACAAACAGCAGCACUCAAGCUCCGUAAAGCUUCGCGCCGCCCUCCCGCCAGUGAGAGUUUUUGCUCGGCUCUGCGCCGAGUUUGUUCCUCUCGCGGCGGGGGAUGGCGUCUAGCGGAGAUGUGGCGCUGGCCUUUGGGCUGGUGAUUGCCGCUGGUGAGGCGAGGCGGGGGUCCAAACCGCGCGGAGACUGCAUGGACCAUCACUGGCUUCCGCGCGCUCGUCCCCUUGCAUCUCGCACCUGCCUACCUAAUACUCCAAGCACAUGAUGCAAUGAUCAAGUUAAACAGCACAGCAUGGCAGGUUGCCUACAUCUCCAGUUCUGCUCGGCUGCGUGCCAGUUGGCUACUGCGCUGUUGCGGCCAUGGUCCUGGCCCCUCGCCUCAGUGCGCCCCUUGCCUCCCUCUGCCCGACUGCACUCCCCUCCCUCCUCAGGCCUGUGCACCUGCCUGGGAGCCGCCAUCGCCUUCUGCGUCAAGGUGUCUGACACACGCAUCCUGGCGGCGGCACUGGGCGUGUCGGCAGGCGUCAUGCUGUGAGUGGCCGAGUCGUGCGCGGGCGCGCGGAGGGGCGGGAGGCGGGGAGGGGGAAGGGGCCAAGGGGCCAUUAGAUUGUAAGUUCCCAAAGUGGUUAGGCAGCGGUCAGCGCAUGAUGUACAUAAUGGGUCUGGAAUGGUCUUUGCCGCGGGUGCCUGCCUGCAAGGGCGGAUGCGCUGGGUUCUGCCAGACUGCCUGCACUGAGAAAUAGUGCCCCGUCCACACUUGUGCGCUAGCAUACUGCGUUGCAGUCAUGCUCCCGUAAUGGACCGGCCCACGCCAUGGCAGGUUGGCUCGCCAGCUGCCCUGCUCCUACUCCUUUUAUUAGGCUGGGCCUGCCCCUAACACACGCACACACACACACACACGCGCGCACACACACACACACACACACACACACACACACACACACACACACACACACGCACACACACACACACACAGGUAUGUGUCAUUUGUGGAGAUCUUCACCACCAAGUCCAUUAAGGGGUUCAUGGACGCAGGAUACAGUGACAAGAGUGAGUGGGCGGCGGGGCAUUAUGGGGCAGCGGGGCACUGCUGCUUGAUGGGGUAGGAAGCGUAAGUGUAUGAUGUGGUGGUGGUGGUGAUGGUGGUGGUGAUGGUGGUGGUGAUGGUGAUGGUGAUGGUGGUGGUGCUGGUGCUGGUGCUGGUGCUGGUGGUGGUGGUGGUGGUGAUGGUGGGUGGGGGCUGCGGUGCGCGCGCGGGCGAGCCGGCGUCAGGGGUAGUGAGGCUGCGCACCCGGAGGCUACACAGGCUCCAGCGAGGCGGGUUGGGGGCUCUAGGGUUGAUCCCAGGUCAGCACGGCGUUAGCUAACAUGGACACCCCGUGCGCGUGUCUUCGUAUUUAAUGUGUAUUUUAUAUAUGAUGUCACGUCAACCCACCCUUCCGCGCUGUCUCCACCCCCAACCAGGCGCCUACCGCUACGCCACGCUGCUGUUCUUUGGCGGCAUGGCCGUCACCUGGUGCCUCAAUCAGCUCGCGCACGGCCUGCUGCACCUGGCUGCAGCCAGCCAGGCAGCCAGGAAGCGGCGGGCGGGCGGAGGCGGCGGCGGAGGAGGAGGCACCUGCGGCGGAUGCUGCCCUGCCGGCCUAUGGCUGCGGGGUGGCGGCUGGGGAUGGCGCGGCGCUGCAGCGGGUGUGGACGUUGGCAAGCAGGUGGGUGGGCGCUGCGGCAAAAGCUGUUGACCUCGUGGGAGGGGUGUCGUAGCCUCCCCACCCCCACUGCCAACCACGCCGCCUCGUGUGUGUGGCUCUGUGUGCUGCUCCCCGCUUGCAGGACGACGACACUACCCCGCCCAGCCGCCAGCAGUCCGCACUGCCUGCAGCCCCUUGCUCACAGCACCUGACCGCCCCUGCCAUUGCUACUGCGGAUGCACGCGUCGGCACCGAUGCCUGCAGCACCAGCAGCAGCACUCACGGCCCCAGCUGCAUGGCCCCCGCCCCCUCCGACGCGCCAGUCACAGUGCUGGGACUCACCGCUCCCGCGCCCGCUGACGUGGAGGCUGGCAGCGCCGGCACCGGCAUCACCCUGGCUGGCCCCGCUGGCACUGACCUGGAGCGCGAGGUGGUGGCGGUGCUGGUGGCGGCAGACGACCCACGCGACCACUCCCAUGCCCAUGGCCACACCCACAGCAGCCACCUGCACAGGCGCAGCCACGGCCUGCCCAUGUGCGUCUGCGGCAGCAGCUCCAGCCAUGGCGCCGUUGCUGCGGCCGCCACUCCGCCCUCUGACCUCACUCGCGACCCCGAGGCCUCAGCCGGCAGCCCCCCGGGUGGCGGCGGCGCUGCCUCCGAGACGCUGACAUCUUCCCAUAACCAGCUGACUCAUCUUGGCCUACUGAGCGGUCUGGCAGUGGGCAUCCACAACUUUCCUGAGGGCCUGGCCACCUUUGUGGGCACCCUGGCAGACCCCACCGCCGGAGUGGCCAUUGCGGUCGCCAUCGCAGUGAGUGCAGGGGCGCCUUAGGUGGGGUUGGCAGGGGCGUUAGCGAUCAGCGGAUGGCAGGUGGCAGGUGAUUGGUUUGUGGCUGGGCAGCCCGGCCAUCUUGUGCCAAAUGUUUUGGUUCUACCGUAUCCGAUUCCUUGUCCGCGGCCCCACUGCUUCCUUGUCUGAUUAAUCCUCCUGCCCUCCCCUCUCCCACCUGUUAUGUGUGCCCUGCAGCUGCACAACAUCCCGGAGGGCAUUGUGGUGGCCAUGCCCAUCUACUUCGCCACCGGCUCCAAGUGGAAGGGUGGGUAGAAGGGGGGGGGGGCGGGGGGGGGGCGCGGAAAGCAAGGACUGGGCGGCAAUGCUCACGCGGCAGCAGGUUCCGCAGCACACCAAGCACCGCAUUCCGUGUUUACCCUGCUCGCCUGGACCACCGGCGCAACCCCCCGCCGCCGUCAUUUGCCGCUGCUGCCGCCUGGUGCGCAGGCUUCCUGUGGUCUGUGGUUUGCGGCCUCUCUGAGCCGCUGGCCGGACUGCUGGUGAGUCAUCACGACAGUGACAGGACCAGCUUGGGCUUGAGCGCGUCGUGCGGCAUGAACUGGAGGGAGCUUUGAGGCCCGCCCGCAUCUGUGCCUGCGCCCUGAAGUUCUUCCUCCCGUGUGUACAUGCUCCGGGCCGCAGGGCUGGCUGAUCCUGCGCGGUCGCGACUCAGACCCCCUCAUGUGAGCGCAGUGCGGGCUGUAGGGGCUCGGACCUAGGGGAGCGGGACCGGGACUUUGGGCAAGGCUCUGGGCAAAAUAGUGAGCAUCUUAGGGUAUCGUGGCAGCUGUAGAGGAGCGGCAGCCGCUGUCCCCGCGAGCAGUCCCGCUGUCUAUCCGUCUGCUGCACACGGUGCCUUUCCCCCUAACCUAACCACACCUCCACCUCCACCUCCGCCCGCCUUCGCCGCCCCCCGCUUGCAGGUACGGCGUCAUGUUCGCGCUGGUUGCCGGCAUGAUGGUGUACAUUGCCGCGGUGGAGCUGCUGCCCACGGCCCUGCGCUACGACCCCGCCAACCGCUUCACCACCCGCGGCCUGGUGGUGGGCAUGGCGGUCAUGGCCGCCAGCCUGCUGCUGUUCAGCGCCACAUGAUAAGGACAGGAGGCAGAGGGCAGGAGGCAGGCGUUGGGGCGCGGAGCGAGGGUCCGGGGGGACGCUGAGGGUGAAGCAGGAGCACAACUGGGCUGGGGCGCGUGCGGUGUCAGGGUGCGCAGGACUGGAUGCGGAAGGGGUGCGGUGCAGGAGAGGGCAUGCUUGUGGGUCAAGUUCUUGAUGUCUGUCUUGCAGCAGUGAGCUGUUGGCCGUGGCGUGACUAGCUACGGGUCGCUUCACGGCGGCGCGUGCUCACCCAAACACAUGUUGCGCCUCAGCGCUAUAAGUAGCACACGCGUUCUGCAGCCAUGACUGCUGUGAUUGGGAGUGUGUGCUGCAGCGUGUGUGUGCAGAGUAUGGAGGAAAGGUUGAUCCUGUCUGUCGCGCCCGUACGUGUGUAAACGGACAUUCUACGUGGCCCUAAUACCGUGGGGGCAUGUCGCACCCGGGGGGCAACUGUAACUAACAACUGCUGCGUGUGAGAGGCACAUGCGAGGCACAGCCUCAGCCUGGGGCCGCAGGUGGCCGUCAUGGCCGUCAACCGUAAGUGCGUGCAUCGGUGCAUGUAGCUGAGGUGGCGUGCUCUGGUGGCAGGAAGCGGGGCCAGCCCGUGGCACGCGGAACAAACUAUUACAGUCCCAAGCCGGCUUCAUCAAUAGCAUGGAUGGCUUUAUUGGGUCCUUUAUUUAUCGCGCAUGGCAACCGCUCAAGCCGUGCCGGCCCAUGUGUUGCCAUGUCAGUCAGCGCACUCCGCCCUGCCGCCUCUGCCGUCUCGACCAAACUAGGGACAACUUGGCAACUCCUCUGCCGCGCAUCGGACCUCCUACCGCACCGCCUCAAUCAACGCAACGCAGCCACCAGCCCGGGACCCAUUCAUCCCCAGCCCAAGUAUACAAUUGUGUGUAUUGGUACACGAGCCUGGUAUCACCCAACACGCAACGCAGUCCUGCCGUGUCCGUGUGUAAUACCGCACGCGCGUAUACCAGGAAAGAAGGUCUGGGACAAACGCCCACCGCCAAGUCUUUCGCCAUGCGGUGGGCGCUCCUUGUCCAGCACCCAGCGGCGGCCACAACUCCUGUGCCCAACACCCCCUUGCUCACCAAUGACCCGAUGACCGAUGCCCAUGCGGCGCUAUUGGCACGCACGUGAGGCACGACAUCCACCUAAACGAAAUAAUAUGCUAUGCGACUCUCAAUGACCCGCCUUCUUCCGGCAGUGUUGGACCAGCUGGAUAUGGCUGGCCUGCAACAGGGAUUCCGUGCACCCACCACACCUCAACAAGGAGAGGUUCACACACACACAUCACACCGCAAACCACACACUACCUAUCACGUUCACCACGUGUAUGCAGGCGAACCUCUGCAGCACUGCAACAACUUGAUAAUUGCCUGCAGCCAUCUUGGUGCGCCUCUACACAACGAUACUAUCACCAUGCCCCAAUUCUUCCCCUGUGCAUCUCUGACCAAGCCAUGUCGAGCCCUUAACCGGCAUGCUCCAGAGGCUCCAUAGACUAGGUCCCGCAAAACCCGCACCAAACGGCUUCAUCCACCGACGUUUGCUUCUCAUCAAAACUGCCGUCCCUCCUCCAGGUGCAUUGCCGAUUUACACCUGCCGCUCGCGUAAUCCUUUCGGCACGAAACAAACAGAAGUUGAAAUACCAAAACCGCUCUUGUUCUCUUCUCUCCUUUUUCGGCUGGCAUGUUGCCGCGCAGCGUGCUGUGUUGCUGUGGUGUGCUGUGUUCAUGCGCAUUAGGUAGUCGUGCUACUACAACCAACCCGAAGAAAGGGAACGCCAGCCGCGGCCAAAAAUCGCAGGCACCAUGAUGCGACCGGCUCACCCGCUGCCGGAUGGGGGCGCGUUUAGAGGUGCUUGCCGAUCAGGUCGGUCAGCGCCUUGAUCUGAAGCAGGGGACGGGGGGUAGGGGAGGGCAGCGAGGGGGAGGGGAUGAGGCAACACGGGGAUCUGAGCUGAGGGCAGGACACAGUAGGGUAGUUGGUGUGCAGAAGGAUUGCUGGCACUGCAUUUAUGGGGAUUGGACAGCGCGCAGUCCCCGCUUUAGAGGCCAGACCCGCCCCUGCCCUGCGGCAUCACAAGAUCGAGCCUACAACAGGGCGACUGGCGGCCACACCUUGGCGCCUGUCAUGCUGUCAAUCUGCUUGCUGUUGCGGUAGAGGUGGAAGGUGGGCAGCGCCUUGAUGUUUAGGGCCAUGGCCAGCUUCUUGGACUCGUUGGUGGCACCUGAGAGCAGUAGCCGGGCACGGGGAGAAGCGCGAGCUGCUUUGUAGCAGCAGGAUGGCAUGUGUGUGUGUAGCCGCCCAAGCAACGGCAGGCACCCACGUCUAGGGCUAGAUGUUCCUCAAGCUUAGCACGCUCCCGCCGUGGACUCACCGCAGUCCAUCUUGGCAAACACAACCUGGCUUGCGUCCAUCUCAUUAGCCAGGCGCUCGAUCUCCGGCGCAAUGACCUUACAGGGGCCGCACCUGAAUGCAGGAGACAGGUUGAGCAGCAGAGCGGGCUGCGUCGACUCCUAUUCUUGCAGCCGAUGCUACUUUCUCGCGCGCGCCGAUGUAACGCCCCCGCACUAUACAACAUGGCAAACCCUUUUGUUGCAAUCGUCACGAGUGGUGCUCACCAGACGGCAUAGAAGUCCGUAACCACAAGCUUCUCAGCAUUCUUCUCCAGGAAGCCGUGGUACGUGUCGGCGGUGAGGAUGUGCACCCCGUUUGCGAUCGCGACCUCGCCGACUGCCUGCUCAGUCGCUGUCACCGCCGACGCGGUUGCGGCGCUGGACAGCGGCGCAGCGAGGCGCUUACGAGGCACGGCCACAGCCACGGGCCGCAGCGCAGCGCGGGCAGCGCGCCCUGCAAAACAGAAAGCCGAACGAACGACACAUGCGUGAGUCCGCGACCAAGGUCCGCCCUUUUGCAAAAACGACCCAGUAACCAUUAGAGGUUACAACCAAGUACCCAUGGAAGUCCUCGUUUCAGCGCGCGCCGCAAAGCUCGGCCUCCCAGGCGCCAUUCGCUCUUGGCGCGUGUUUGGGCGCACUCCCUUGCGCACUUCACGCAUCCAGACGCAUUGUGCUCACCUGAGCGGAGAGCGCCAGCAGAAGGGGAUGCGCGGACGCAAGGAGUUGCCAUGGCGCUCAAUAUGGGCAAGAAGGAAGAAACGAAGGCGAGCGGUGGGCUGCCUGCCUCGACGUAAGUGCAAGCGGGUGAGGUUGUAAGCACGGUGCUGAUUGCAGCAAUUCUGGCGGCCUUGACAUCAAAAAGGUCGGAUGCUGACAUCGGACAAGUCACCGAAACAGAUCCAAACGACCCCAAUCCGGGCUGUCGCAAGUCCAGUCCAAAGAAGCAGAAGCUGUGUCGCUCUCAUUCACGCUAUCGACAAUCUCUGUGGGACAAGUUAGCGACCCUUCGUCGACCCUUAUGUGACCGACUGUGCCGCCCGCAACUUGCAGGACAUGCAAAACUUGCAGGACAUGCAAAAUAUUGCCUUGACGGGCGAACGAAAAGGGUUCGGGGAUGUAAGGUCAGCGUGAAGGUCACUGUACCGCAUACCCACGCCGGCGCCUGCAGACUGCCAACCUUUGUAUUCCUAUCUAGAGCUCAAAGCACAAAGCAUAAUGGUGAACUGCUGACGCUACCUCAGCGGCGGUGGUGUGCAGACAUGUGCUUACAGGUUGACCAUGGUCCAUACAGUAGUGGAGCACUCUUGCAUUGCAUUCACGCUAGCUUACAUUUCUCAGUAUCUUCGAUAACAGCAUGGCGGGGACACUUUCCCCUGGUCUUGCACGCUUUUCUUCGGCCCAACGGCGCGCGGGCGUGGCGGCAGCGGGACGGACAGCAGCCCGUCGCGCGGGCGCGGGGGCAGCCGAGCGCGCGGGCGUGGCGGCAGGCGGGCGCACAGCAGCCCGUCGCACGGGCGCGCGGGCAGCCGAGCGCGCGGGCGUGGCGGCAGGCGGGCACACAGCAGCCCAUCGCGCGGGCGCGCGGGCAGCCAAGCGCGCGGGCGUGGCGGCAGGCGGGCACACAGCAGCGGAGGGAGCAGCAACGAAGACGGUGACCAGCGUGGGCCCCGUGGCGGGCCGGGCCGGGCACCCGGGGACAACCCAGUGCCGGGCGUGGUCGCGGCCGGCGAUCCGCUGGCUGUCUUUGAGCUGGCAACCCUAGCACCAUGCGCAUCGUGGGCGUUGAUCCCGGCGUAGGCAACUACCUGGUGGCCUGUGUCGGGUCAAUGCCAGGCUUCUCACCGCACAGCUACAGUGGCCGGCCACGAGCCGCGCACAUCUGGCGUGGCCCAGAUGGCCAGGCUCCUGGGCCUGCCCAGCCCCCACUGCAGCGACGGCGGAAGCGGCAGCAGCGGCGGCAGCAGCGACAGCAGCGACGGCGUCGGGGGGCGGGAGGUGGAAGGGCAAGAGGCGAGAGUGGCGGGGCACGCGCCAGCACACGCAUCAGCGUGCCGCAACAGAACGGCGCCGCCAGCAGCGCGCCUGCUUUACCCGGCUGUCUGGCGCUGGCUACCGCCACUGCACAGUCCAGACAGGCCGUCGGCUGUGGCUGCAGGCAUGGCUAGCGGAGCAGCCGGCAUUCAAGCGCUGUCAGGCGGGGAUACCCAGCGCGCGGGUGGCGUCGGCAGCUGAGCAUGAGCUGCGAAUACGCCAUCUCUACUCUGGAGGUGGCGUGGACGCGGCGGCGGCUGCCGGGUCUGCGCCUGCGCCAGUGCAACAGUACCGUGAUCUGCUUUCGACAUUUUCUUCGGUUCGCUCGGAUGGAGUCUCGACAGGACGACAACCCAACUUUGACUCUGCCUAACUUUAGCCAUGCAACUGGUACUACCUCAGUUAUCUACUACCGGGGUGCUAGAAGUUCGGUGCUAUUCCGCUCACUUGCUGUGUAGCAGUCGUACCUAACGGUUUGCUGCAGCUUUUGCUAUCCCGCCUGUGUCCUGUCAGUUCGUCCCAGAUCCAUUCCCCAUCCGGAACGUGGGGUGAGAUUCGGAUGCACGUCUUCUCUCAAAAUUUACAAACGUUGACAAGUCCCAGCGCAGCUAGCCGCUCCUGCGCCUGUCGGGACCUUGCCUGCUGCACGGCCAGACCGCACACAAAACCCACCGCUCCCAAACAACUCAAGCUCCACCAGACCACACAAGACGACCCAAAUAAACCGCUCAGACCUGCAUCCCUAUUGGUACAUCAAAACUGUGCCGCCAGGGCAUUUACUGGGGGGUGAACUUGGUGGCGUAGGCGAAGGCGUUGUUGGUGCCGGGGUUGGCCAGGUGGUCGGACCUGUGGAGCGGGCACGAGGAGCAUAACAUCACCGGGUAAACUAAGAUGGGAGUGCAAGUAUCAACUCGAAUUAAUGUUUAAUCCGCGUAGGUUAGCGCGGCUGGGCAUUUAUGGCAAGCAGCGUGCUGCACACACCGCGACUCAUGUUAUGUCACCCUAGGCCCCCAUCCCUACUCACAGGUUCUGCAGGGGGCCCUUGCCGGUCACGAUGGCCUGAACGAAGAAGCCGAACAUGGAGAACAUGGCCAGGCGGCCGUUCUUGAUCUCCUUCACCUUCAGCUCAGCGAAGGUGUCGGGGUCGUCAGCCAGGCCCAGGGGGUCGAACGAGCCACCGGGGUACAGCUUGUCCUGCAACGCGGAGGGAGCAAGGGUGGGCAAUGAUGCCAUGCACAACGUCCACGAACCGUGCAUUGCUACUGACGCAACCAGACAACACAAACCGAAACUGUCCCAUGUGUUUUGAGGGAAGCUUCCCUUCACAGCGAACCGCACUCACCAGGCCCUCGCCCAGGGGGCCGCCGUUGACGCGGUAGCCCUCAAUGGCGCCCAUCAGCAGCACCUGGGUGCCCAGGAUGGCCAGGAUGGACUGGGCGUGCACCAGGUUGGGGUUGCCCAGGUAGUCCAGACCGCCCUCCUGGAAGAUCUGAGCACCAG
rnacentral:lncRNA from 1 species